UUUUUAAGGGAGGGAGAGGAGAAGAAGGAGAGAAGGUGAAUCGAAUCAGUCACUCCUCUGAUUGCCUGCUACCUAUGUCUUUUCCUCAGCCUGUCUUCCAUGUGGUAACAUUUUUAAAACAGAGGGAACAUUUUUAAGACAGAGGGAAAAGGGAAGUUGGAAAGGAGCAGAAUUUGGGCACAUGCCCUGCUUCCUUGAGCUGUCCUCUCUCAUUAAGGACAUGUCCUUCCAAAAGAAAGGCAUUCUGUUUCCAGCCCACGCAGACCUAAACUUUUUCUCAUCACGUGCCUGGCCAGAGCCAGUCGGCAGCCAUGUAAUGUGAUCACCAGGGCCAGCCUCCCGACCCACCCAAGCUGAGCCGGGUGACAAUAAGGUUAGCCUGCAGAACUUCCCUGCAGCCACAAAAACAAACAAACAAACAGAAGCACUACAGGCUGGACCUGUGGCUUGGAGACAGGAACUCUUGGCAACAGCCCUCUGCAGAGCCUGUCCUUGCUCCUCCUCGGCAGGGGGGGGGCUGUUCCUGGGCUGUUCCCUCCCUGUUCCUCACCGGGUCAGCACCACCUGCCUGUGUCUGCACCUUCUGUCUCCUCCAUGUUGCUUUUCUCAAAACGGACGUAGUUCUAAUGAAUCCAGUCUACUUCUAAAGCUGGUGGGGGAACAGUUCUCCAAAGGGAAGUGAAACUGGAAGAGACUGCUGGAAGGCAACCCUCAUUCUCGAAGGACUGUGGCAAACUGCCACACUCUUAAGUCUCAGAAGGAUGUGCGGGCUGGGAGAUGGUCAGCCAGGUUAAGGUGCCUUGAGUAAAACAGUGGCUCCAGGUUCAGGCGAUUACUACAUCCAAUGGUCCUGAAGGACUUCCACCAGAGCUACUGGGUAGAGAUGGAGCAGCAAAGUAGUUUGCCACGAGAGGUGCCUGGCCAGGCGAGACAAGGGGCUGCUGCAUGUGAGUUGCUGUCAGUUUGUCUUGUAAUUCCAAACAGAUGUCACUGGCCGAGACAGAGAGAGCAAGUCAAUUUGAUGAAAUAAAUGCAAAGAGGGUC